GCAUGGCUGCAAAAGACAGGAGUUAGUUCGAGAGGCUGCUUGUGCACAUGGCCUUCUCCCCACCCCCGCUGACCUGGAGGUGGGCCGGCCCGUCUUGAAAGUGACUGACUCCACGUGGUGGUGGACGUGAAGCAGGAAAAAGGGACAGAUGACUCUGGUGCGCCCCAGAGGGCUCCCAGGCAUGUCCCAUGUUACUAUUUCAGACCAGUGAUUUCAAACCCGCUGCUCAUCAGAAUCAUCCCAGAAAGUGAUGAAAAACUAGAUGUCUAGGGAUAUGGAUACCUUAGGGAAUUUAUGUAAAGCAAAAUAAAACAGAGCAGAAAUGAGCGGACAGCCCCCCCUGCUGCCCCCCGCCCCGCCCCCAGUUCAACAAAUGAGUUCUCUAAUAACACCGUUCCCUUUGUUAAUACGAAAUGCUGGUUUAUAUUUAUUGACAACCCUUUUAAUCAGAGGAUCAGACGUCUGGCUGUUCCUCAGCCAUCUGAAAUCGAGCUGCCAAGACGCUGGACACAGGUGACAAAGGAAAGGCAGAGAGCCGCCACAAGCCCCUGACACUUGGCCCUAGGGGUGUGUGAAGCAGAGCUCAGGGCUCCCCCUGGGGGCGGGCUGAGAGGGGCACGUGGCGUGCAGUCGUUGGUUCGCCAGUGUUUUUGGAGAUGCUGCAUUUGGAGGUGGUACCUGGAGGAAGACGGAUGAGCUGAGGGGUGGAGGGGGUGGCAGAAUUAGGAAGUGACAGAGGGCAGGUGAAGAAGACAGACUAAGGUAGGGUAUGGGUGUAAGCGUUAUGAAUCCCAGUUCUCCAGGAUGGUCUUGGGUAGGAGCAGACAGCCCCGUUCACCCCACAGCCACACCUUGUACCAGGGCGCUGCGCAGAAAUGAUUGGUAACCCUGCUGCCUGCAAAUAAAAGAAGGGACCCUUUUCUUCAAGACACUUGCUUGUGCCCUGCAAGUGCAGGCACAGGAAACUGGGGAACCAACUGUAAACAUCCAAGCCGUGUUCAGCCCACUCUUCCAGGAUGCGAAUGUGCCCGCGAGGACCACUCCGCGCCACCAGGGGACGUCGGAGACUUCCACGUCUCCUCGCGCAAAGGUCUCCUGUAUGGCUGGUCGCAGGGCAGGAAGACCAUGGGCUUCUCCCCAGUUCCCUGACUCCCUGGACAAACGAGCCUUCGGGGGGGAAAUUGAGGCUCUGUGAUACAUUGGACAGACCAGCACAGAGCAAAUGACUCACUUGCUAAAGGUUAUGCCCGUGCACCAAGAAGCCCGGGAACAGAGUCCAGAGACUCGAGCGUCAUGUGUUGGGGCCUGUUCUGUCCACGUCUUUUGCCGAGGGACACAUCUGGGCUGCGGACCAAAGUUGUUAAAAUGUGGAGCUCAGAUACCCUAACUGUGCACGAGCCCACUGUGUGCUCAUCGGCGUGCUUUGGGCUUUCCACACGCACCUUGUGAGACUGGUUAGCUCCCCUCAGCCCCCCAAGUGGAGCUGUGGCAGGCCCUGAGGGCGCAGGGAGUUGGGCCAGGCGUGUCCGGCUUCUAGGCUGGCCUCCCGAACCACAGAUUUCUAAUUGCAUUUGAGAAAGAAUAAUGAGCAUCAAAUAAAUACAGAGCAACUUACCCCUGCUCCACCUGUGGGACACCGCCGCCUGAGCAUCAUAACACAACAGCAGAAGCAGCAGCGUGUUCCAACACAUCUUUUGCUCCAAAAAGGUGACACUUGUCCUCGAACCCAAUGGGACCUCAGGAGCUACAGGUAUUCAGCAUGACCUCAGGCAAGCGAGUCUGAAGCAGCCAGACAUGAAGCAUUCCCAGUGAGGUUUAUCUCUGACACUGUUCCAUGCCGAACACAGAGCUACAUCAUUCUAUGUGCUUCUGGUGGGGACCCCCAUAAAUCCUCAUCUGCAGGAAAGGAAUUCUGUCGCACUUCAGGUGACCAGCCUAGGACCGGGUGGUGGCCAGAGCCAUCUGGGGGAGAGGGUACAGGAGACAGGGGUGAGAAGGGAGAGAUGAUGUGGUUGGUCGCCAGAUUUAGCACAUCCGAAAAAAAUGAAUGAUUUUUUAGUUUAAAUAUGUUC